ensembl:lncRNA
GUUCAUCUGAGCUGUCAAAGCUUUAAUCAAUAGGUGAUAUUAAAACAACACAACAAUCAAAGUUACUUUCAUGUAUGAUUUUAAGACGUAAGUUCAUGUUUAUGUUGGUGAAAUUGAAAUGGACAUGAGACACUUACUCUUGACGGGGUCUCGUAAAUAUGGAAUGCAGUGAAGUAGGGCCAGGUGCCACUGAGUUUGAAUUGUUCUAGGAUUUGUCUUUUUGAUAGUAGGCAAGUUCUUAGUCUUCCUGAAAUUUAGAGUUGCAAAAAAAUGUACAGUAGACUUAUGCUUCUUACUGUUGGUUUUGUUUCUUUGCUAUUCAGCAUCUGAGCAUCCUUUAUCCUCUUUCUGGCAUGUGGGCAUUGGUCCCACUCUGGAACAUAAAAGGCCAAUUCUCCUGCCCUGUUGUAGCUUUAACAGUAGCUGUCAAACCUUGUCGUCCAUGAGGAUCACAUGGAAAGCUUUUAAAAGCAUAGAUUGCUGGGCCACACCCCCUGCGGGGUUUGAGUAUUUACAUCUCUAACAAGUUCCCAGGUGAUGUGCAUGUUGCUGGUUAGGGAUCACACUUUAAGAACCACUGAACGAGCAUGUGAGUACGUGGCUUAGGUCAAACAAGGAGAUGCCUCUGUCUGGACUUGAGACAAUGAUGCAAACACAAGGUCAGCUGGGAGACUCUCUGUGAGUAGAGUAGACACAUCAGCAAUCCAGCUCUGGUGGUGGACAGUGUACGACAGCAGCUAUCGAACAGAGGUAUUCUCCAUGUCUUUACCCUGCCUGGCUUGCAGGAAGCACUCGGGAAAUUUUUGAAUGAAUGAACGAAUGAAAGAAAGAUAUUUUCAGUCCUAUUCAUUCGCUGGAACUCUCAAGGAGCAUAAAUUCCUCUCAUUUUGGAGAGGAAAAUUAGAAUCUGAAAAAUCUCUUCUGAGAGCUCGCUUUUUGGUGGUUUUCCUGGUUCCUGUGAGGACCCAUGUGUUUGAAUGAAAUAGCUUGCUGCUGACUGAAUGAUUACUUGUCGUUCUGCUGCUAGUACAUGAAGAAUCUCUCUACACAUGGAACGGUAGGAGCACGUUGCAGUGAAGACUUUGUUAAACAUUCUCCUGGGAAACAUACAUUUUGCGUGAGAAACCAGCAGACAUCCCCUCAAAACGGUCCUUUGACCUCCUGAAAAGACUUCCAUUAUUCCAGUUCACAAAUCAAGACAGGCUAAGCUGUAUCAAGCACUCCUGCUCAUUUGACCCCAAACUUUUGUUGUGGUUUUACUCAAGAGCUAAGACAUGAAAACAUGGAGAGACACAAGUUCUUUUGAAACAGUUAGCAGAGUCUGAGAUGCUACUUGCCAAGUACAAGGUGGAUAUUUAAUUUUUGAAGGUGGUUUGUUUCCUGUAUGUAAACUCUCCACCCUUCAGGGUUGAUUUUGGAAGUCAUGUAAACAGUUCAGAUUUCUCCUUGCCAUUUUCAGGGGUUCAUUUCUGAAGAAUUAAGAAGGGUGUAUUCCCUGUGUGUGUCCUGGGGGUUUCCGUUUCAUCUUCCUUCUCCUUGAACUGUAACGUUAGGCUGUGACCUCCUCUUCUGGUCUUCUUGAGCAUGUCCUGUAUCUCCUCUUCAGAGUCUUCAUGGGUGAGACAGCCUUUGUGCACAAGCUCUGACAGAGGUUCAAGGAGAAAGCUCUCUCUGUUUGGAGAAUGUCCUGUUUGGUGCCAAAAAGAACACAGCCUGGUGUACAGCGAUGAAACACCCUUGUUUGUGUCAGCUCUGCCUUUAAUCUCUUUGAAAAUUGGAAUAUUCACCAAAUCUCUUCAAAGAUCUUUUUCAUUUGUAAAAUGAGGUUAAUUAAACUACACUUUGGUCAGGAUAGGUCUGAUUUUGCAAUGAUAACAAGCAUGCCCCAAAUUUCAGUUGUAUAAAAGGGCAAAGGUUUUUACGCGUUCCACAUGGAUCGGCAGGAGAUCUUGGGUCUGGGUAUUUGCUUAGGGAUUCCGACUCCACACCUCAUCAAAUGCUUCUCAAAGCAGCCAACACGUGCUCCUGGUAUUCAGUUUUUAAACCUCUUCCCGAGACCUUGAGUUUAUUAAGUCCAGCAUUUGCUUCUAAUUUAUUUCAGGUGAGGAGUUACUAAAUGUUUUGCCACUAAAAGGCAGAAUGCCAUCUUUUAGGCCUGCCAUGAACAGUUUCCUCACCAGCCACUGCUUGGUUCCUAAACCAAUGCUAUAUAUUUCAGUUUGGGGCACCAUCCUAAUUAUAUAUGAUAAUUUCUAGAAACAUCAUGUUAGUAUGGAUUAUGCUGUGAUAGCAAAUAACCUCCCCCCAAAAAAGUUAAUGACUUAAAACAAUAAAGGAUUAUUUCUCACUCAAGACACAUUCUCUUAAGCAUUGCUUGGGCAAUUACUCAUUACAGCUCCUCGAGGAUCCAAGUUCAACAAAAUGGAGCCACCACGUCACACAUUGUUGAUUGUUGAUUGCUGCACCAAAGAGUAAAGGGAAUUCCAGGGGGUCUCACACCAGCAAUUAAACACACAGCUUGAGACUUCAUGUGUUUCUUCUACUCAGAACUCAGGGGCAAGAAAAAGUCACAUAUCCCCACCAAACAGACUUACUGUGUGACCAGAAAGGGGGAACUUGCAAAUAUCUGACGAAAAGCACUGAUGACCAGCACAAGCUGGUCCCUUCCACUCAUAAAAUUACACGAUGAUGUUAUUCUUACCAUGGUCCAAGGAACUCUUUGGGUGACAACCCUAGGCCACAGAAAGAUAAUCAUACAUGCAUAAAAAAAUUUCACAUUUAAAGAAAUAUUCCACGAUCCAUAAAGUUUGCUCAACUUUCAGCACCGGUGACUGAAGGUAUCUAAUCAUGACUCUAGCAGAAAGCGUACUAGCUCUGUCUACACCCAGCUCACGGCUCCCCA